CUUGCUUCUCUGAUGUUAGCGGCGGACGGGUGAGUAACACGUGGAUAACCUACCUAUAAGACUGGGAUAACUUCGGGAAACCGGAGCUAAUACCGGAUAAUAUUUUGAACCGCAUGGUUCAAAAGUGAAAGACGGUCUUGCUGUCACUUAUAGAUGGAUCCGCGCUGCAUUAGCUAGUUGGUAAGGUAACGGCUUACCAAGGCAACGAUGCAUAGCCGACCUGAGAGGGUGAUCGGCCACACUGGAACUGAGACACGGUCCAGACUCCUACGGGAGGCAGCAGUAGGGAAUCUUCCGCAAUGGGCGAAAGCCUGACGGAGCAACGCCGCGUGAGUGAUGAAGGUCUUCGGAUCGUAAAACUCUGUUAUUAGGGAAGAACAUAUGUGUAAGUAACUGUGCACAUCUUGACGGUACCUAAUCAGAAAGCCACGGCUAACUACGUGCCAGCAGCCGCGGUAAUACGUAGGUGGCAAGCGUUAUCCGGAAUUAUUGGGCGUAAAGCGCGCGUAGGCGGUUUUUUAAGUCUGAUGUGAAAGCCCACGGCUCAACCGUGGAGGGUCAUUGGAAACUGGAAAACUUGAGUGCAGAAGAGGAAAGUGGAAUUCCAUGUGUAGCGGUGAAAUGCGCAGAGAUAUGGAGGAACACCAGUGGCGAAGGCGACUUUCUGGUCUGUAACUGACGCUGAUGUGCGAAAGCGUGGGGAUCAAACAGGAUUAGAUACCCUGGUAGUCCACGCCGUAAACGAUGAGUGCUAAGUGGUUAGGGGGUUUCCGCCCCUUAGUGCUGCAGCUAACGCAUUAAGCACUCCGCCUGGGGAGUACGACCGCAAGGUUGAAACUCAAAGGAAUUGACGGGGACCCGCACAAGCGGUGGAGCAUGUGGGUUUAAUUCGAAGCAACGCGAAGAACCUUACCAAAUCUUGACAUCCUUUGACAACUCUAGAGAUAGAGCUUUCCCCUUCGGGGGACAAAGUGACAGGUGGGUGCAUGGUUGUCGUCAGCUCGUGUCGUGAGAAGUUGGGGUUAAGUCCCGCAACGAGCGCAACCCUUA
rnacentral:rRNA from 1 species